GUUCACUUUGGCAGCACAUAUACUAAAAUUGAAACGAUACAGACAAGAUUAGUAUGGCCCCUGUGCAAGAAAAAAAAAGGUAUUUUUGUGUUCCUUUUCUGAUAUUC
rnacentral:snRNA from 1 species